rnacentral:lncRNA from 1 species
CGUGGAGGGGCCUGGCAGAGAAGCAGACAGGGGUGGGGUUGUCUAGAGAGUGAAGAAGGGAGACAAGAAUUGUGAAAUACCCAAAGUUCAAAGUUCAUCAAUCACUCGUCACAACCAACCCUGUCCACCAGCACAGCCAGUCUCCUUUCUCUGCUUCUCCUUCAGCUCAUGGCUGAGCCUCAAGGAGGUUCUGAGGCUUUCCUCAGCCCCUCCAGCUCUGACCUUCAGCCACAAGCUCAUGCAGGAUGCCUUCCACCACUGGUCCCUAGGGAUUGCCCAACUCUCAGCCAAGCCUCUCUGGAGCUGUGCUAAAUAGCAUAAGCUGAAACAGAUGGGGCACUGGUGAAUGCCAGGAGAGAGCCAUGAAAAUCCCAAAGGAGAAAUCAGGAAGGAAUCAAGGAAAGGCCUUGAAAGGCCCCCACUGUUUGGGAGCUGGAUAAUCUAGCAAGAAGGAUAGGGAGAAGAGCAGGUCAAGUGACCCACUUUCCUAAGGACCGCUUUCUUAAGCAUCACCUAAACAAGCUACAAUUGGCAGGUGCUCACAGCCCACUCCCAUUGCUCCAGGAACAAUCCUCCAUUGUAGCAAAAAAAAAAAAAAAAGACAAAAGACAAAACUAACAAAAAGAGCCCCACCUUGUAGAAAGCCCCCUGGGCUAAGCAUUAGCUAAGAGUCUUAUGUUUGUGUCCUGGAUUUGCCACUAGACGAUGUCACUGUGUGACGCUGGGCAAAUCACACUCCUUCACUGGGCCUCAGUCUCCUCCUACCCAAAAUAAGCAGAUUUGACUAGAUCAGCUGUUCUUCACUCUUUUUGUGUGUCAUGGACCCAUUUGGCACCGCUUCACCCCUGGUUAAGCUUUUCAGAACAAUAUGUUUAAAUGCAUAACAAAAUACAGAAGUUUCCGAAGGAAACAAAUUAUAGAAAUAGUUAUCAAGAUAUUUUUUAAAAAGUUCACUGACCCCGGGUUAAGAACUCCUGUACUAGAAGAUCUGUAAAUUCUCUUAUAGCUCCAAUAUUCAAAACUGUAAAGUUCUUUCAA